UUUUCUUCAUUUCUAACAAUUCAAUUGCUGCAACAUAGUUGUUGGUGGUGCAAUGGGAGACGCCGAGCAGGCUAUUUUUUAUUCAUCUUCUUUAAUUGUCGGAUCUAUAUUUUUAGGUUGCAAGUUCAAAUUUCAGGUGCAGUGUUACGUUAUAUUUUUAUCGGAAGUCGUUUCCGACUAGAUGUAUUUAGACGGAUCAAAAUCCAUCUGAAUGGCGCUAGAAAUCAGCCAAUUCGGACGGUUUCUGACGGCAUGUGCAAUCCUAAAUUGGCGAUUUUCUAGUAGUGCACUGAAAAAUACUUUUUAACUUCAAAUCUCAGACUUAAAUUUCAAAUAGCAUUCAAGAAGUUAGAGAAAAAGGUUAUGGUUAUCUGUAGCAAGUAUCAACUCGGUGAUAUAAGAGGGAAGCUAGGAAUGCUAUACAACCUCGUCGCAAAAAAAUAUUUACGCCUCAAUUCCAAACAAAUUGAAGUCUAAUAUAGAAUCAUCAUUCUAAUUGCAUAAUAUAAUACUCCUUGUGUAAUAUGUCGUAGUAGAGAACAUAUACUUCUUAAAGACCCGUAUACAAUAGUUUUAUGAUCAA